GACGAACCGAGCGAACGUUGUUCGGAAUCACUGGGCUUAAAGGGCGCGUAGGCGGGCUGUCAAGUCUGGAGUGAAAUCCCGCGGCUCAACCGCGGAACUGCCUCGGAUACUGACGGUCUCGAGGGGGGUAGGGGCGAGCGGAACUGAUGGUGGAGCGGUGAAAUGCGUUGAUAUCAUCAGGAACUCCGGUGGCGAAGGCGGCUCGCUGGACCCCUUCUGACGCUGAGGCGCGAAAGCCAGGGGAGCAAACGGG
rnacentral:rRNA from 1 species